CGUCUGUACGUUCAUGUGUAGGAGCUGACGGCCACAGAACAUGGCGAUCUGCGGCUCCGCCACCUGGGGGCUCGGCCCGUUCACCUCGGCCAUGGCCAGAGCCUGGAGGGCAGAGGGAAGAGGAGACGCAUCAGACCAAAAGUGUUACCCGGGACGGCGCGAUGGAGAGUAAGCGAAAAAUCGAAACUGAGAAGCGAGACGGUGGACGAGGGAGGGGGAAGCUAAUGCACAAGAGGGCUGAGUGCACACGGCGAGAUACGAGAGGCUAUCGGCAAAACUAAAAGUCAGGAGAGGACUUCCUGUUGAGCAGAACCAACAGUAAGUGAGGAGCAGCGCCAAUUAAAAGGCCGACUUAUCAACCAGUGGCCUGUGCUCGGCCUGUUUAUUUACACUCAUGACGAAAAGAUGAAGAGGAUGGUGUUUUUCUACAGUAUUUAAAAGACUGCUCCCUCUCUCCCUCCCUCCCCCCUCCCCUCCCUUCAUCCUAUUAUUGAUCACGGGGUGCGCUGCCUCUGCCUGGGGGAGGGCCCAGGGGAUGCCACGCACAGGAACAAACAGCAUCCGGGGCCGGGAGUCAGGUGUUAAUACAAGCUCAUUGACCGAUCGGCCGCUUCACUACAUUAACGCGGAGACAGAGCGAAAGAGCACAGCGGGGCGGCCGGCAACACAAGACAAGGAGUUCGCUCUCGCCAAUCGUGAGAACGUGCACAAGUCAAAGAGGAAAAAAACAGCAGAGGUCUGAGUCAUCACAGAUCCAGCAGAACAUUCACAGUCAGGAGCGCGUAGCGGUGGAAGAGACACGCCUCGCUCUGGAGCCGCCGUAGAGCCGCCGUCGUUUGAUGUGCGCCGACAGACGGACAGAUGGACCCGCUGGUGACAGACAACGCGGGCGACGCCGAGCCAAUUAGAAGGAAGUUGGCCGAAGGGAAGAGACGGAGGAGAAGAAAGUACGGGAGAGUGACGCCUGAUCAAAGGGAAGCCCUGCUUCGGCCGACGGGAGCGCGAGCGUUUGAAGUCCUAAUUAACAUUCACGCGGAAGGAAAUAAAUAUAUAAAUGCACAAUAAAUAUAAAGGCCCUCAGCAGUUUCUGCAUCAUAAUUGAACUAAUGGAGGUUGGAGUUUCGGCGUGUCUUAGCAGUAUUCUUACAAAUCACUGGCCUGUUUUUCAUUACUGUGACCCUGUCCUGAAGCACGCGGGACGUUUUUAGAUCUAUCGAUGCAUUUUUCAUAAAUCCACAGGCCUCUUUUCAUCUGUUCGCUUAGCAGAUGCUCACGGAGCACAUCCACCCGCCGCACUUGAAUGUUAAAUGUCUGUCUCUGAUUGCGAAACGUUUUCAAGUGUUUCGUUCUCGUCGUCACCUCCAGUGCGACACCUCCGCUUCAAGUCUGUGCAGGUUAACCAUUACUCACUAGUUAUAGCAAAUGAACAACAGGCUUCACCUUCGGGGAACUGUUUAUAGUGUAACGUUUUUCAUUUCUAGCUUUGCCAGCGUGUUGGCUAUUGACGGUACUGAAUUGAAUCCUUGAGGAGUGUGCUCUGGGAUAACAAACACUGCUGAAUCUGCUGAAAUGCCCGGUGUGUGUGCUUCGCUGGUGUCUAACCAGACAUAUCUGUGUGACCCAGGGAAGGUCAGUGCUACAACGAAAAAAAAUCUGAACAGAAAAACAACUUCCGGAUAUUUGAGAAGAUAACCUGGCAGCUCCCCCUGCCCCGGCGCUCGCAUUGUGCCCGCUCUCCACUACUGCUCUUGCAGAAAAUCAAUGCUGAGCGACUGCAACUGUAUCGCCGCGUUCCCCCCCAAUCAAUAACAGUCCAUCAUGAGCUCCGGGCCCUGACCUCCAGCCUGUCAAGCCCGCAGACGCGCCUGAUCGGACCCCUGAUUAGAUCUCCCUCCUGUGAUAACCUCUAGGAAGAAAUAUUGUUUUAAGAUGCGCAUUAUGUUGGUCUGUUGCUCGGCGGCAGCAGAGAAACUCCAGCUAGUUCUUGUCUCUGUGUGGACUAUGAGCAGGUCUUUUCCACAGACAGCUGAUGCCACGCAGACGCCUAUUCAUGACCAGUGAAAUUUGUUGUACUUGACUAUUCUGCAUUUCUUUGUUGAGCUUGUUUUCAUUGUGUAAAUUGUAGCUCAUAGAAUAAUAAAGAUUGUGGGAAACAAGA